AUUGAACGCUGGCGGCAUGCCUUACACAUGCAAGUCGAACGGCAGCGCGGACUUCGGUCUGGCGGCGAGUGGCGAACGGGUGAGUAAUACAUCGGAACGUACCCUGUUGUGGGGGAUAACUAGUCGAAAGAUUAGCUAAUACCGCAUACGACCUGAGGGUGAAAGUGGGGGACCGCAAGGCCUCACGCAGCAGGAGCGGCCGAUGUCUGAUUAGCUAGUUGGUGGGGUAAAGGCCCACCAAGGCGACGAUCAGUAGCUGGUCUGAGAGGACGAUCAGCCACACUGGGACUGAGACACGGCCCAGACUCCUACGGGAGGCAGCAGUGGGGAAUUUUGGACAAUGGGGGCAACCCUGAUCCAGCAAUGCCGCGUGUGUGAAGAAGGCC
rnacentral:rRNA from 1 species